GGCGAUAUAGUGUAGUGGUUAUCACUCGAGAUUCUGAUUAACUCUGAGUUCUCGAAACCCAGGUUCGAGCCCUGGUAUUGCCU